rnacentral:rRNA from 1 species
AGUGAACGCUGGCGGUAGGCCUAACACAUGCAAGUCGAACGGCAGCACAGUAAGAGCUUGCUCUUACGGGUGGCGAGUGGCGGACGGGUGAGGAAAACAACCGAAUCUACUCUUUCGGGGGGGUUCACGAAGGGAAAGCUACGCCAGUACAGCAUACGCCCUUGGGUUGAAAGCAGGGGAUCUUCGGACCUUGUGGGGUUGGAUGAGCCGCUGUCGUAUUUGCUAGUUGGGUGGGUAAAGGCCCACCAAGUCGCCGAUCCGUAGCUGGACUGAGAGGACGGUCGGCCACACUGGAACUGAGACACGGUCCAGACUACUACGGGAGGCAGCAGUGUGGAAUAUUGGACAAUGGGCGCGAGCCUGAUCCAGCCAUACCGCGUGUGUUGAGAAGGCCUUCGGGUUGUGAAGCCCUUUUGUUGGGAAAGAAAAGCAGCAGGUUGAUACGCCGCUGUUCUGACGGUACUCAAAGAAUAAGCACCGGCUAACUUCGUG